GAAAUGCGAUAAUUAAUGUGAAUUGCAGAAUUCAGUGAAUCAUCGAGGCUUUGAACGCACAUUGCGCCCCCUGGUAUUCCGGGGGGCAUGCCUGUCCGAGCGUCAUUGCUGCCCUCAAGCACGGCUUGUGUGUUGGGCUUCCGUCCCUGGCAACGGGGACGGGCCCAAAAGGCAGUGGCGGCACCAUGUCUGGUCCUCGAGCGUAUGGGGCUUUGUCACCCGCUCCCGUAGGUCCAGCUGGCAGCUAGCCUCGCAACCAAUCUUUUUAACCAGGUUGACCUCGGAUCAGGUAGGGAUACCCGCUGAACUUAAGC
rnacentral:misc_RNA from 1 species